CACGUGGGUCAUUUGCCCUUUGGUGGGGAAUAACCCGAGGAAACUCGGGCUAAUACCGCAUACGGUCCACGGAUCAAAGCCUUCGGGCGCCAGAGGAUGAGCCUGCGUCGCAUUACCUAGUUGGUGGGGUAAUGGCCGAAAAAGAGGACGACGAGGAGCUGGUCUGAGAGGAUGAUCAGCCACACUGGGACUGAGACACGGACCAGACCUACCGAGGCAGCAGUGGGAAUAUGGCAAUGGGGGAACCUGACGCAGCACGCGCGUGGGUGAUGAGCCUUCGGUGUAAAGCCUGUCGGGAGGAGAAUAAUGACGGUACCUCCCAAGAAAGCACCGGCUAACUCGUGCCAGCAGCCGCGGUAAUACGGAGGGUGCGAGCGUUGCUCGGAAUCACUGGGCGUAAAGCGUACGCAGGCGGCUCUGCAAGUCGGGUGUGAAAGCCCGGGGCUCAACCCCGGAAUUGCGCCCGAGACUGCAGGGCUUGAAUGCGGGAGAGGGAAGCGGAAUUCCUGGUGUAGAGGUGAAAUUCGUAGAUAUCAGGAGGAACACCAGUGGCGAAAGCGGCUUCCUGGCCCGACAUUGACGCUCAUGUACGAAAGCGCGGGGAGCAAACAGGAUUAGAUACCCUGGUAGUCCGCGCCGUAAACGAUGAGUGCUAGCUGCUGGGAAUGUUUACCGUCUCAGUGGCGAAGCCAACGCAUUAAGCACUCCGCCUGGGAAGUACGGCCGCAAGGCUAAAACUCAAAGGAAUUGACGGGGGCCCGCACAAGCGGUGGAGCAUGUGGUUUAAUUCGAAGCAACGCGCAGAACCUUACCCAGGCUUGACAUCCCGGGAACCUCGCGGAAACGUGAGGGUGCCUUCUCACGAAGGAGCCCGGUGACAGGUGCUGCAUGGCUGUCGUCAGCUCGUGCUGUGAGGUGUUCGGUUAAGUCCGGCAACGAGCGCAACCCCUGUCGCUAGUUACCAGCAUUCAGUUGGGGACUCUAGCGAGACUGCCGCUGAUACGCGGAGAAGGUGGGGAUGACGUCAAGUCCUCAUGCCUUACGUCUGGGGCUACACACGUGCUACAAUGCACCUAAAAAGGGUUGCCAGACCGCAAGUGGAACAAUCCCAAAAGGUUCUCAGUCGGAUGGGAGUCGCACUCGACUCAUGAGCUGAUCGUAGUAUCCCGGAUAGCACGCCCAGGCGAAAACGUUCCCGGGCCUUGUACACACCGCCCGUCACACCAUGGGAGUUGACCGUGCCCGAAGCCGUGUCCCCAACCGCAAGGGGGGGAGCGUCUACGGCAAGGUCGGCGACUGGGGUGAAGUCGUAACAAGGUAACCAA
rnacentral:rRNA from 1 species